rnacentral:rRNA from 1 species
AUGGCGGACCGAGCGGAGUCGUCGUCGUCGAACGGGACAGGGAAGAACCUUGAGGAUCUGCUGAAGCAUCUGGAUCUCCAGGACGACGAACUUGAUGAUGUGAUCGUAGGAGAAGAGGAGGUAAAGAAGUUCGAAGCAGAUGCGAGGUGGCUGGCGAUCGGAAAAGUGAAUACUACUCGCAUCUUCAGUUCAUCAGCGAUGUUCGAGUGCAUGAAAUCCAUCUGGUCACUGGCGCACGUGCCGAAGUAUAGAGAGGCGGGAGAUAAUCUGUUUAUCUUCCAGAUGUUCUGUCUGGGGGAUUGGAAGAAGGUUGUGCAUGGAGGGCCAUGGCUUUUUAGGGGGAUGGGGAUGCUGAUCGAGGAUUACGAUGGGAAGAAGGAACCAACAUCCUUUGAUUUUGAUGGAUUAUACGUGUGGGCUCAGAUUCAUAACAUACCUGAGCUCUACCACAAAGCGGAGGUGGUUGAUCAGCUAGCUCGCCGCAUUGGAAGGGUGAAAGAAGUCCAGCUUGCACCUCACUUGUAUUAUGAGGGAGAC